GACGAACGCUGGCGGCGUGCUUAACACAUGCAAGUCGAACGGAAAGGCCCUGCUUUUGUGGGGUGCUCGAGUGGCGAACGGGUGAGUAACAGGUGAGUAACCUGCCCUAGACUUUGGGAUAACUUCAGGAAACUGGGGCUAAUACCGGAUAGGAGCCCCUGCUGCAUGGUGGGGGGUGGAAAGUUUCGGCGGGUGGGGAUGGACUCGCGGCUUAUCAGCUUGUUGGUGGGGGAGUGGCUUACCAAGGCUUUGACGGGUAGCCGGCCUGUGAGGGUGACCGGCCACAUUGGGACUGAGAUACGGCCCAGACUCCUACGGGAGGCAGCAGUGGGGAAUAUUGCACAAUGGGCGGAAGCCUGAUGCAGCAACGCCGCGUGCGGGAUGACGGCCUUCGGGUUGUAAACCGCUUUCGCCUGUGACGAAGCGUGAGUGACGGUAAUGGGUAAAGAAGCACCGGCUAACUACGUG
rnacentral:rRNA from 1 species